UAGGAUUUGACCUUUACUUCUGCUUCCUUCCUGCUGGCACAGAAUGACCUGGGGUAAUUUUGGGUUUCUGUAUUACUGAGAAAUAAGAAAUUGGGAAUGUUUUAGAUUGCUGUCAGAAAACUGACCCAAGAAAACAAUUUGGCCAUCUUUCCUGGGGAUAUGUACUCCAUGUUUGGAGAGUUCAUGAAGAAUGUGUAACUUUUAUUUAUGAUCUACCAAGCAGAAGAUAGGGAUAUCAGUGACCACAAGAAAACCAAAACAAUAUUCUAAUGAAUGGACACGAUUUCCUAAAGCGCUGACAUGAGCAACUAUGGCA